rnacentral:sRNA from 1 species
GUUUAGCCCCGAUUGCAGCGGAAAUCCUUUUUUAUGACGUAAGGAAAUAAAAAAGAUUGCAAUGGAAAGCGGGACGAAUG